AACACAACAUUUAUGAUGUUGUCUUUGACUUUCACCCCUCAGAUUUGGAAAGUGAAAAACAAAGAGCUGGGUGGUUGUAGUAGAAGUUAGGGUUAGAGAGGAGGGCUGGUAGUAGUAGUUAGGGUUAGAGAGGAGGGCUGGUAGUAGUAGUUAGGGUUAGAGAGGAGGGCUGGUAGUAGUAGUAGGGGCUGGGAGUAGUAGUUGGGGUUAGAGAGGAGGGCUGGGAGUAGUAGUUGGGGUUAGAGAGGAGGGCUGGGAGUAGUAGUUGGGGUUAGAGAGGAGGGCUGGGAGUAGUAGUUGGGGUUAGAGAGGAGGGCUGGGAGUAGUUCUCUCCUCCCCAUAUCCCCCAGUCUCUCCUCAAUCUCUCUCAGGGGCUGCUGCUGCCAGUACAGGCUGUGCUUUAGGCACAGAUUUAUGAUCAGUCUGCCCCCAUCAGGUCAGCCCCCCUCCCUGCUGUCUUCCUGUGCAGAGUGAGUCAAGUGAGCCACACUUUCCCCAAGCUGCUG
ensembl:lncRNA